rnacentral:rRNA from 1 species
GAUGAACACUGGCGGCGUGCCUAAUACAUGCAAGUCGAGCGAACAGACGAGGAGCUUGCUCCUCUGACGUUAGCGGCGGACGGGUGAGUAACACGUGGAUAACCUACCUAUAAGACUGGGAUAACUUCGGGAAACCGGGGCUAAUACCGGAUAAUAUAUUGAACCGCAUGGUUCAAUAGUGAAAGACGGUUUUGCUGUCACUUAUAGAUGGAUCCGCGCCGCAUUAGCUAGUUGGUAAGGUAACGGCUUACCAAGGCAACGAUGCGUAGCCGACCUGAGAGGGUGAUCGGCCACACUGGAACUGAGACACGGUCCAGACUCCUACGGGAGGCAGCAGUAGGGAAUCUUCCGCAAUGGGCGAAGGCUUGACGGAGCAACGCCGCGUGAGUGAUGAAGGUCUUCGGAUCGUAAAACUCUGUUAUUAGGGAAGAACAAAUGUGUAAGUAACUAUGCACGUCUUGACGGUACCUAAUCAGAAAGCCACGGCUAACUACGUG